CAAUAGCGUAUAUUAAAGUUGUUGCAGUUAAAAAGCUCGUAGUUGGAUUUCUGGUGGGAGCGAUCGGUCUGGCGCUUAGCGCGAGUACUUGCAUCGUCUCCGGCCAUCCUUGGGGAGAGUCUGUCUGGCAUUAGGUUGUCGGGCAGAGGAUCCUCAUCGUUUACUGUGAAAAAAUUAGAGUGUUCAAAGCAGGCUUAUGCCGUUGAAUAUAUUAGCAUGGAAUAAUAAGAUAGGACUUUGGUACUAUUUUGUUGGUUUGCGCACCAAAGUAAUGAUUAAUAGGGACAGUUGGGGGUAUUCGUAUUCCGUUGUCAGAGGUGAAAUUCUUGGAUUUACGGAAGAUGAACUACUGCGAAAGCAUUUACCAAGGAUGUUUUCAUUAA
rnacentral:rRNA from 1 species